rnacentral:lncRNA from 1 species
CCUCAGGAGCACGCUGUCUCUUCCCGACGUGCAGCCCGGGGCCCGGCCCUGUCCCCGGGUGACUGCUCCCCGGCAGGACUGCACAUCUGUGGCGGCAGGCCCAGCUCAGGGCUCGGGGGAGGUUCGGCCUUGCCUUCAAAGAGCUCCCUCUCCUGCAGGGCGAGCGCAGAGCGGCGGGCGAGACCACACUGCGUGUGCUGAGGGCGCACUGGUCUUAGCGGGAGGGAAGCCUCACGAGCCUGUACACUUGGAGGAGCCCUAAGCGUUAGGAUCUGCUGCGAGGGCUGCCUGGAACGGAGGUGAGAGGAUACAAGUGGCCCGGGGCAAGCAUAGUGAAUCACUGGCUAAUCUGGCCUUCGAGGUAGUGAAAGGAAAAAAGGGAAAUGAAGCUGACUGUGGCUGAAUGUAGUAGGUCUUGAAGGCCAAAUGGGGCGAUCUGAUUUUUAUUCUAGAAGCAGAGGAGAAACUAAAGAUUUUUUUAGGAGACUAUAUUCAAGCUUGUAUCAUUAGUUCAUCAGACGUUUAUGGACCACCCACCGUCCGUGCACUCACGGGGCUUGCAGUCUAUCUGGCUGAAUCACUUUGGCAGCCAGUGUGAGGAGGGCACAGAAAGGAGACCAGGUGAGAAAGCCAGCCUGACCAAAGAAGAUGUGGCAACUGAUGGGAUUGGAGGAGGCGGACAAUGUCCUCCAGACAGCUGGACUGGCUCUCUAUAUAUUUAUUUAUCUCUUCUACACCUCCAGCCCCCACCUCCACACUCACUAACUGGACUCAACUAGUGGGGGCAAAGGACAGACUAGAUUUUAGUGAAAUGGAAUUUCUACCUCCAGCGGCCCCUGGAACAGUAGCACACAACGAUCUAACAACUGCUUGUAUGAUUGGAUGGUGUAAGUGCGGACAGAAUUAGGGAAUUUGGGCUACUCUGGGCACACUGCUUAUGGGGCAGCCCUGCUCCGC